rnacentral:piRNA from 1 species
UAAUAAGUGUUGAAUCUCUCCUCUAGCCCC